rnacentral:lncRNA from 1 species
UCAUUUGAUAUUUCUUAUUUCUUAAGGUUUUAAAUCCAUCCGAGUUGGUUUGGUUCGUGCAAGGUUAGUUGGAAAUCGUUGGUUUGGGGGUUUCGAAUCCGGGAUCUUGGGUUGUUUUUUUUUUAAGUUUAUUCGGAUUUGUGGGUUAUUCAUCAUGAGGUUUUGUCAUGGUUUUCCGAUCUAUCCGGUUGAAUUCAAUAUCGAGUUUGGAGUUGUUCGUUAUGAGGUUCUC